GCAGACCCCUCGUGCGGCAUCAACUCGCCCGAACUCCCCCAGGGCCGGAAGGCAGCAAGUAGGUGAGCUCUGGUGGGUGCGCGAGGGGUCCUUUCG
rnacentral:SRP_RNA from 1 species